rnacentral:rRNA from 1 species
GAAACGAUGGCUAAUACCGCAUAAUACCUUCGGGUCAAAGAGGGGGACCUUCGGGCCUCUCGCGUCAGGAUAUGCCUAGGUGGGAUUAGCUAGUUGGUGAGGUAAUGGCUCACCAAGGCGACGAUCCCUAGCUGGUCUGAGAGGAUGAUCAGCCACACUGGAACUGAGACACGGUCCAGACUCCUACGGGAGGCAGCAGUGGGGAAUAUUGCACAAUGGGCGCAAGCCUGAUGCAGCCAUGCCGCGUGUGUGAAGAAGGCCUUCGGGUUGUAAAGCACUUUCAGUCGUGAGGAAGGUGGUAGUGUUAAUAGCACUAUCAUUUGACGUUAGCGACAGAAGAAGCACCGGCUAACUCCGUGCCAGCAGCCGCGGUAAUACGGAGGGUGCGAGCGUUAAUCGGAAUUACUGGGCGUAAAGCGCAUGCAGGUGGUUUGUUAAGUCAGAUGUGAAAGCCCGGGGCUCAACCUCGGAAUAGCAUUUGAAACUGGCAGACUAGAGUACUGUAGAGGGGGGUAGAAUUUCAGGUGUAGCGGUGAAAUGCGUAGAGAUCUGAAGGAAUACCGGUGGCGAAGGCGGCCCCCUGGACAGAUACUGACACUCAGAUGCGAAAGCGUGGGGAGCAAACAGGAUUAGAUACCCUGGUAGUCCACGCCGUAAACGAUGUCUACUUGGAGGUUGUGGCCUUGAGCCGUGGCUUUCGGAGCUAACGCGUUAAGUAGACCGCCUGGGGAGUACGGUCGCAAGAUUAAAACUCAAAUGAAUUGACGGGGGCCCGCACAAGCGGUGGAGCAUGUGGUUUAAUUCGAUGCAACGCGAAGAACCUUACCUACUCUUGACAUCCAGAGAACUUUCCAGAGAUGGAUUGGUGCCUUCGGGAACUCUGAGACAGGUGCUGCAUGGCUGUCGUCAGCUCGUGUUGUGAAAUGUUGGGUUAAGUCCCGCAACGAGCGCAACCCUUAUCCUUGUUUGCCAGCACUUCGGGUGGGAACUCCAGGGAGACUGCCGGUGAUAAACCGGAGGAAGGUGGGGACGACGUCAAGUCAUCAUGGCCCUUACGAGUAGGGCUACACACGUGCUACAAUGGCGCAUACAGAGGGCGGCCAACUUGCGAGAGUGAGCGAAUCCCAAAAAGUGCGUCGUAGUCCGG